rnacentral:tRNA from 1 species
ACCUUCGUGGUAUAACGGUAGCACACUCGGUGCGUAUUCGAGAGGUCCAGGUUCGAGUCCCGGUGAGGGCA